UACGAAGGGGGCUAGCGUUGCUCGGAAUCACUGGGCGUAAAGGGUGCGUAGGCGGGUCUUUAAGUCAGGGGGGAAAUCCUGGAGCUCAACUCCAGAACUGCCUUUGAUACUGAGGAUCUUGAGUCCGGAAGAGGUUGGUGGAACUGCGAGUGUAGAGGUGAAAUUCGUAGAUAUUCGCAAGAACACCAGUGGCGAAGGCGGCCAACUGGUCCGGUACUGACGCUGAGGUGCGAAAGCGUGGGGAGCAAACAGG
rnacentral:rRNA from 1 species